CUGCAGGGCGCCGAGUUUGCCCAGGCUGAGGCGGCCGAGGUGGACAGCGGAGCCGCCAUGGACACGUCCGAGCCCGCCAAGGAGGAGGACGACUACGACGUGAUGCAGGACCCGGAAUUCCUGCAGAGCGUCCUGGAAAACCUUCCCGGCGUGGAUCCCAACAACGAGGCCAUCCGCAACGCCAUGGGAUCCCUGGCCUCCCAGGCCGCCCGGGAAAACCGGGAAAACAACCGGGAAAACAACCGGGAAAACCGGAAGGAGGAGGAGAAGAAAUGAAAUCCCCGGGAAAAAAAAAAAACGGAAUUAAAAGGAAUUUAUUUCCCUUGGGAAUUGUGGAUAUUAAAGGAUUAAAAGGA